UAGUUUAUGGUUCCAUUUGGAUUAAGAUCAUUGGUUUUGAUAUUUCAAAUGAUUUAUUUGUGAAUCAAAAGUUGUUAUUAAUUGUAUAAAUAUCCGGAGAUUUCUAUUCAGAGAUGCUUCUGUUUGGUGGUGAAAUUUCUACUACCUUCCCUCUUAGGUUUCAGGUUAGGUUAAGAUUUUACUUGCAAAAUGUUUACACAGUUUAGAUAUUAUGCUUUUUUUUUUCUCUCAUUCGUGUUGAUUAAUAUGGUUAAAUUCUGUUGAUUGGUUCAUUGGUAUCUUAAUUAUAGGAUGUGAGUAAGAUUCGGCAAGUUCCUGAUCAUCAUGUUGCUCGUGGUUUAUGCUAUCUUCAUCUCUCUUGUGUUCUAUUUUCUGACUCUCAAGAAAAAAUUUUCUUUUUGGGCUCUAAUUAACAAUUGAUGGAUGACUGAUUUUUUCUUGGUUUGUUUUAGGAGGUAUUCCCCAACCCUGCACGUGAUGAAAGCUUGAUCUUUUGAGCUGUUUAGAUCUUAGGCAUGAUGUUGGGGAUAAUGGAAGUGCCACCUGGUUUCUUCAGGACCUUGCCAUUGAGCAAGGUGCUGAAGGAUGCAGGGUAACAUUCAAAUACCAAGAAUGGGGACAUCAUAUUUUAGAUUGCAGACAAGUGUGACUUACCUCAUGUUCUAGUACUAGGCCGCACGAUUAGAAUACUUUCCCGCAUUGUUUAUCAAUAAUUUGAAUUCUUUUUUCUCUUUUUGAUAUAUGCUCUAUGCAUGCACGAAGAAAGGGGAGAAUGGUUAGAUGUGUUGUUCCGAUAUUUGUUUUAGUUGUUUCUAUGACGUGAAUGGAUUGUAAUUGACCGUGUACUGCAUUUCAGUUGAUUGAGCAGACUGGAGUAAUUGAGGGCCCUUGAUUAUUUUACAGAGAUGUCACUGCUGUUAUUACAACUUCUGUGGUCAAAUGGUUCUUUCUUCUUCCUGGGAAAAGAUGAGGUUCUUUGGGAAGUAUGUGUUUUCAUUUUGUGUCGUUGUUCCUACUGUGUGUAUAUCACCUUUAAGCGACAACUUGAACGGUGGACAACUAGAUUGGGUAACAUCAAGAAAUUUUAGCCGAUGCCUAUGAGCGUGUGGUGGCAAGGCCGAGUGCUUGCGAUUUGCGAUUGGUGGUAGCACCGCGACGGUUGGAUGACUGUGUGUUGGGGAAGCGGAGAACCGAACCACACCAGUGGCAGGGCAGAGUGAAUGCCACUACGCAAGCCUCCUCGCCGCCGCUUGCGUUCACCUCCAUACAGCGAACCAAAUGGGUGUUGCAAGAAACCCAAAGCUCCGGCCUGCGGAUUCACCAAAAUUAAAAAUAGAGGGAUGAAUUUUUUGAUGAAAAGGAAAGAAACAGGUAGUCAAGGAAGCAAAGGCUGACCCGACUUGACACCCCCUCUUGAGUUUUUUGAAUGACAUUGGAUAGAUGGACUAUCCAUGGUAUUUACACUUCUUUUUGCCGUUGAUUACAUAUGUUUGAUUAGGUUUUUUGAAAGUUUUUCGUUUUACUUAUGUUCAAUUUUUUCAUAUCCAGUUAAUACAGUUUAUAGUUUUAUUUGGGUUAAGAUCACUUGUUUUGAUAUUUCAAGUGAUUUAUUUGUGAAUGAAAAGUUGUUAUUAAUUGUAUAAAUGUCUGAAGAUUUCUAUUUAGAGAUGCCUUUGUUUGAUGGCGCAAUUUAUAGCUUCCCUCAUAGGUUUCAUGUUAGGUUAAGAUUAUUGACCUCGUAAUUCUUUUUUUGUAGAAAAUAAAUUUUAUUCUGUCAAAUUUCUCUCUCUCUCUCUCUCUCUCUCUCUUUUGAUCCAUUUUCUGUCCCUUAAAAAGUUUUUUUUUUGUGUUCUUACCAACAAUGUUUGAAUGAUUGAUUUUGUGCUUAUGGGGGAAAACAUAAGGAUUCACCCAAAUGAAACAUAAGGACCCCCUCUUGUGGUUUUUGGAUGCGUUUGAUAGAUGAUCGUCCUUGGUUAUUUACAUUUAAAUGCUUACUUCCUUUUUUUUUAAUUUAUUUAUUUUGUUUUAUUAAUUUCUAUUGCAAACUUUUAAAUAAUAUUAAAUUUUUUACUAUUUUUCUCGUAGGUUUUUUUUUUAAAUUAUUGUUCUAUCAAAUUUUUUAUCUGUCUCUUAUGUUCUAUUUAUGUCCCUUAAAGAAGAAAUUUUUUUUUGGGUACUUAUCAACAAUUGUUGAAUUAUUGAUUUUGUGUUUAUUGGGGAAAACCGAAGGAUUUACAAUAUUAAAAAAUAGGGAGUUAAUUUUUUGGAUGAAAAGGAAAGGAACAGGUAAGCAAUGAAAGUAAAGGCAGACAGCCAUGACGCUGGUUAUAUUUGGAUGGCGUUUGAUAGGUGAUCUUCCAUGGUAUUUACAUUUAAAAACUUCCUUCCUUUUUUUUUAUCAAUUUCUUUUACAAACCUUUAAAUGAUAUCUGAAUUUUUAUUAUUGACCUUGUAGUUCUUUAGUUUUAAAAAGAAAUUAUUGUUCUGUUAAAUUUCUCUCUCUCUCUCUCUCUCUCUCUCUCUCUCUCUCUCUUUUAUUCUAUUUUCUGCCCCUUAAGAAGAAAUUUGUUUUUGGGUACUUAUUAACAGUUGUUAAAUGGUUGAUAUUGUGUUUAUCGGGGAAAACGGAAGGAUUCACCAAAAUUAAAAAUAGGGGCAUAAAUUUUUUGAUGAAAAGGAAAGAAACAGGUAGUAAAGGAAGCAAAGGCAGCCCGACCUGAUCUCCUCUGGUGGUUUUUGGAAGGCGUUUGAUAGAUGGUUAUUCAUGGGUAGGUGACGUCACAAAGAUGCACCUCAGCUCGUCUAUAAAAGCGCAAGACUUUCAGUAGCUUCUACUUCUCUCUUACUCACUCCACUUUCGCUUGGUUAAGGUAAACUUCUCUAUGCCACUGAUUACAUAUGCCUGAUUAGAUUAUCUCAAUUUUUCAUUUUGUUUUUGUUCAAUUUUUUCAAAUCCUGUUAAUUCAGUUUAUGGUUUCAUUUGGAUUAAGAUCACUAGUUUUGAUAUUUCAAAUGAUUUAUUUGUGAAUGGAAAGUUGUUAUUUAAUUGUAAAAACGUACGGAGAUUUCUAUUUAGAGAGGCCUCUGUUUGGUGGUACAAUUUCUAAUACCUUCCCUUUACGGU